rnacentral:lncRNA from 1 species
CGGACCGGGCUGCCUGCGUCCGCUCCACUCGGCGCCGCGCCCCGCGCCCCGCGCCCGACCGUCGCUUCCCGCCUCCCCGCAGCUCCCUCCCCGCAACCCGCGGCGCGUGCGCACGAGAGUUACGCGGGGCAUCCUCGGGCGCCCAGACCCGGAGUUUGUUCGGCCUACCCGACCGGCGCUCUUGCGUCCGACAGACCCAGAAUACCGGGAGCACAGGGCGCCCUCCCCGCGCUUCCAUCCAGCGGGGCACCGGGCGCGUCCACUCUGAAUUCCCGUACUAGGGCGUCGCGGGAGACCACUGCGGCAGUGACGUCAGCUGAUCUCGGGGGCUCGAUCCUCCCGCUACCUCACAGUUUAUGCCCUACCAAGGCAAGGCUCCAGUGGCUUCCCUUGGCAGGUGAGGCCCCAGGCCUUCCAGGCCUGCAGGGCAGAAAAAGGGACCAAAGACUUCUGUGUGAAGUGAAAUUCUCCUACCAAGAAAAUGAGAAAUGAUGAUAUUGAGAAGACAAAGGUGGCAAAGAGACCAAAAGUUCCCCUGGCCAACCAUCGCCCUUCUUUGUUAGUGUUUGCUGGUUAAUAUGUAGGAAAAGCUUUCAACCUGUUUUGAUGUUUUGCUUGCAUUUGUAUCUGAGCACUACACGCAUGCCUGGUACCCACACAGGGCAUCAGAUCCCCCUGAAAAUGAAGCUAUGGAUGGUUGUGAGCUGUCAUGUGGGCUUGACACUUUGUGAGAGGCUGAACUUGAAAAUGAUGGACUAUUUGGCAACGUUCAAGGCAUCAAAGAGGACGAGCAGAGACAUAUGUAUUAUUGUCUGCUUUCAGCCACACCUCCAAUAAACGCUGGAGAAUGGGCACCUUGGUAUUUCCUUCUAUCAUGUUGAUUUCCCAUCACACAAAAUAAAUAAAAGUAAUCAAAAUUUUAAAUUGGAAAAUACCAAAUAAUGAGACUAUGUUUGGGGACAGCAAAGUGAAAACCUUUGAACUUUCCAGCUUUUUAAUUGUGUUAUCAAAGCAAAAGAACUAUAACAUAGAUAUCAUGAUGGUCAAUCUUCAUUUCAUCUUGCCUGGGUUUUAGAAUCACCGAGGAGACACACAGACACUCCAUGAGAAUGUGGACCGUACCACCCAGAGUCCCAGACUAAAUAAAAAGGGAAGAACAAGCAGGCAGCUCCCUGCAUCCUGUGAAUGCACUGUGCCUGGCACCUCAAGCUCCUGCUACCAUACACACCUAGAUAUGGUGGACUACACCUUCAGACUGCAAAAAGAGCUUUGUAGUUCUGAAGCUGAUUUUGUCAUAGUAUUAAGAAAAAUAACUAAUACAGUAACUAAGGCUGGAAGAGUAGACGUCAAAGGUGUCGAAACUUUCAUCUUUUCUUAAAAGUAAUGUUAUUCAUAGGGACUAACAGGUCUUCUGUGUUUUUGACCUCAUGUAUGGGCCGAUGAAGGAGUUCUGUCUAACUAGCCCCGCAUGAGAGAUCUAGUCUCUGCCAGAGUCAAUGCUGGGCAAAGUCUCAUUGUAGAUGUCUUAUCAAAUGGUGUCUCCCUGUCAUCACCUUGACAUUGAUGUAUCCAUAGCAAUGACCUAGCUUUCUGAUCCCCUGGUAAAGAGAUAACUUGGGAAAAUGACCAGAGAUGGGUAGAAAUAUGAUAAAUUAUAAGAAAAGGAAGAAAAAGAAGAAAAGAA